UACGUAGGCAGCGAGCGUUGUUCGGAAUUACUGGGCGUAAAGAGUGUGUAGGCGGUGUUCCCAGUCUGUUGUGAAAUCUCCCGGCUUAACUGGGAGGGUGCAGCGGAAACUAGAAUGCUAGAGGGUGGGAGAGGUAAGCGGAAUUCCUGGUGUAGCGGUGAAAUGCGUAGAUAUCAGGAGGAACACCUGUGGCGAAAGCGGCGCACUGGACCAUAACUGACGCUGAGGCGCGAAAGCUAGGGGAGCAAACAGG
rnacentral:rRNA from 1 species